GUUGCAAGGUGGUGAAAACACACUUGGCACCUUUCUGCGUGAGAUCUGUCCUAGAGACAGUUUAUCACAUGGUAAACGAGCGUUGGCUCUGGGACUCAGUGACACUGCCUACGUGGCUGUGGUAAAAAGACUACAACACAGACAAGACCUUGGAACUGGACCUGCUAACUGGGGCCUCCAGAAGGGGAAGAAAGCCUUAACACAACACCUGGAAUCCAUCUGUGGGCAUCUGGGCUCAGACUUGCAGAGGUAACGUCAGCAAGGAGCCUGGCUGAACGAGCAAAUUGGGAAUUUAAUGCUGCUGCUUGCUGAUCAUUCUCUCUGCUUUAGGACACCCUCCUUCUCCUCAUAAUUAACGAGGAUCUGUCGUGUCCUGGCCUCUCAGGGAUAUGGACAUGUCCUCUGCCAGGUGACAGCUGGGGAAUCUCCUAACGUCUUACAUUCUAUUAGGGGCACUUGAAGACAGUAUCUCAACUCAAAAGAGUGCCUCCCACCAUAGGAUUCCAGGCACUGGCUCAGAGGGACUCAACUCUGGCUGCAGUCAUGGUGAACUACAUUUCUGCAUUCUGGAAAAUCUGAUGAACUGGUGUCAGUAUUUAAACUGAUUUCCAUACCUGUAAGUGGCUCGUAAGACAGAAAUAAAGUGAAGAAGUUACGAGGCUAUACAAGCUUUAAGAAUGCAGGAGUCUUGCCCAUCUCGUUCACCGCAGUAUCUCCAGCUCCUGGCACGGAGGCUGGCCCAUAGUAGGUGCUCAUUAAAAAUGUGCUGACUGAAGGGUGGUCUGAUGUCACAGACUGCAGAAAGUUCCCCCAAAGGAAGAACUUAAUUUAUCUAAGGCAUUUCACAAAUCGUGGUAAUUGGGGAAUUAGAAAUGGCAUUUUAUUAAUUUUGGUGACUAGCUCAAUAACUGAACUAAUUUAUUCUAGAUGACUGAGCUAACUUAUCCCAGGUAGAAUUAUUCAUUAUUCCUCUCGCCGUCACCUACCCUUUGCUAACUGUUUAGAAGCCACGCAUCACUAGCAGUCCGAGAGGAGGCAAGCUGGAAGCUAAGCAAAAGAG
rnacentral:lncRNA from 1 species